GAGUUUGAUCCUGGCUCAGGACGUACGCUGGCGGCGUGCCUAAUACAUGCAAGUCGAGCGAGCUGAAUUCAAAGAUUCCUUCGGGAUGAUUUGUUGGACGCUAGCGGCGGAUGGGUGAGUAACACGUGGGCAAUCUGCCCUAAAGACUGGGAUACCACUUGGAAACAGGUGCUAAUACCGGAUAACAACAUGAAUCGCAUGAUUCAAGUUUGAAAGGCGGCGCAAGCUGUCACUUUAGGAUGAGCCCGCGGCGCAUUAGCUAGUUGGUGGGGUAAAGGCCUACCAAGGCAAUGAUGCGUAGCCGAGUUGAGAGACUGAUCGGCCACAUUGGGACUGAGACACGGCCCAAACUCCUACGGGAGGCAGCAGUAGGGAAUCUUCCACAAUGGACGCAAGUCUGAUGGAGCAACGCCGCGUGAGUGAAGAAGGUUUUCGGAUCGUAAAGCUCUGUUGUUGGUGAAGAAGGAUAGAGGCAGUAACUGGUCUUUAUUCGACGGUAAUCAACCAGAAAGUCACGGCUAACUACGUGCCAGCAGCCGCGGUAAUACGUAGGUGGCAAGCGUUGUCCGGAUUUAUUGGGCGUAAAGCGAGCGCAGGCGGAAUGAUAAGUCUGAUGUGAAAGCCCACGGCUCAACCGUGGAACUGCAUCGGAAACUGUCAUUCUUGAGUGCAGAAGAGGAGAGUGGAACUCCAUGUGUAGCGGUGAAAUGCGUAGA
rnacentral:rRNA from 1 species